AGUCACAGUAGCAGAACACUGAGUCAUGAUCUCAAUUAAACAGAAUGUUUACAGAUACCACAUUUCAUCUUAACAGUCAAAUUCCAAAGUUCGCAGAUUGUUACAUACAUACUACAUACUUCAGGGAGUUUACCUUUAGGAAGAGAUCUGAGACUUUACUGCUACUGUUUGAGCUGAAUUAUUUCACUCCCAAUUGGAGAGCAUCUUUACUCUGUACUGUCUGCUAACUGAUAGGAAGUAAAGCUCAGAUGGUUAACUUACUUUUGGUUUUCCUGUAUAAAGAAGUUUCUGAUGAAAUGAUGUUGACCCGUGAAACUUGAAGAUCUGAACUUCCCAUCAAUGUCUUGAAUAGCAGUGGCUGAUUGCAAUGUCUGCAGCAGAAGCCUAGGGCAAACCAGACACAGCAAAGAAAAGCAGUUUCUGAACUCUAUAUUGGCAAUAAAUCUUCGAGUCCAGUGAUAACAAGAGUUCUCCAUCUGGUCAAAACUAGCAUGAAAAGGAAUUGAGAAGAGGAGAGAAUGAAAAAGGACCACAUGCUGCUCUACAUCCAAUCCUAUGAAUUUCUUAUUGGUCAUUGAAAUACGAUUGCCCUAUCCUUUCUCAUGCUCCAAGAAAGCAAUAUAAAUAGAAGUGAGAAAAACGCAUACUGCAGAAACAUGCAGCCUUACUGUACAAAAAAAGUAGGAAAAGAUAAGGAAACUGAAGACAUGUGAAACUUCAGAAAUGAUUACCAAUUGGGAAACACAGAUGUACCUUGCCUGGUCAGAAGAGUCCGAAAGUAAAGGCACAAACAAAAGCUAAGUCAUGCUGAUAUUCUUCAAAUAAGAAAUUUAACUCAAAUGAAACCUGCAUUCAUUUCACACAUCAAAGAAACCACAUAUCUCUCCAAGAAUCAAAACACUAUUAUUAUGACAAAUUUUUCCUUUCAAAGCAUUCAAGUAAAUGAAACUUUCGAACUGCUACCAUAUUUUUGAGGGUAAAAGUCACAGGUAGAUAAAACCAAAUCUGGAGAAAGAAAAGCCUUUGCCCUCUACUAAUGAUGACUAAGAAAUACUCUGAAAUUUUCAGAGAAAAUGUAAAAGCUUUCAAAACUCCUUUGAAAAUUUCACAUGUUUAAAUGCUAUUCAUCUCCACAGAGAGAGCUGAUGAACUCUGAGUACAGAAUGAAGCAU